GGUAGAUCAUUAUAAACCCAGUUGGUAGUUUAGGUGGUAGAUCAUUAUAAACCCAGUUGGUAGUUUAGGUGGUAGAUCAUUAUAAACCCAGUUGGUAGUUUAGGUGGUAGAUCAUUAUAAACCCAGUUGGUAGUUUAGGCGGUAGAUCAUUAUAAACCCAGUUGGUAGUUUAGGUGGUAGGUCAUGGAUGUGCUGGGUUUAGGAGUAACCCCUGUAGUCUCUGCUCUGUUAGCGACACAUGGAGUAAGAUAAUUCAACGUGCAACAAUUUCCCCAUAGAGUUUAAACUGCAAACAUUUUCAUUAUCAUUCUUCCUCUUUUCUUCAUCAGCGUCUUCAUCAUCAUCAUCAUCAUCAUCUCAGAUAUUGUUGCCAUCACAGAGUCAGUGAUGAAGUUCUGGUGUGUGUGUGUGUAUAUAUAUAUAUAUAUAUAUAUAUGUGGUAUGUGUAGAUAGGUAGGUAGGUAGUUAGUUCUGGUGUGUGUAUAUAUAUAUGUGGUAUGUGUAGAUAGGUAGGUAGGUAGGUAGGUAGUUAGUUCUGGUGUGUGUAUAUAUAUAUGUGGUAUGUGUAGAUAGGUAGGUAGUUAGUUCUGGUGUCUCUGGCCUCCUCUCCAGAGUCAAAGUCUUUUGUUUCCAUAGUGUUGAUAGGUUGAUAUCACAUUGUGACAUUGUAUUGCGUUGUACAAUAAACGUCCCAGCAACACUUCAAACACACAGCUCCUUCUCCCAUCUACCUAUAGCGAGUCGGCGUAUCAAGCCACCAUGGCAACCCUGGUGGGUGUGGCUCUUCCUGUCUUGUUGCCGGGGUAACAUCCAUCCUGCUGACUUGUGGGUUAGGGCUAGGUUCAGGGUUCAGGUAAUCUGGUGUUACACCACUGGACAAAACACCAGCCUUACACUCAACUAUAACUGAGUUUAUCAGGGUGUUAAUCUGGCUAUUCUGAUUUUGACUCCGUAUGACAGAAGACAAGCAUUCUCUGGGAUCUUUCCCAGCGUGACCCGCCCCCUCCUCUCUCUGACCCUGCUCCCCCCUCUCUGACCCUGCUCCCCCCUCCUCUCUCUGACCC
rnacentral:lncRNA from 1 species